CUGCCAAUCUUGAAUACAUUUCCUUUUUUUCUCUUUCAUUUGAAUGCUUCUAUCCCUUUUCAGUAAAUACUGAGGUGGCAUUUUUCUAUAUCUUGCCAAUAGUCCAAUUCUUUUCCAUUUGUUUAUCAAAUACUGAAUUAUAACGAGAGCAACAUUAAGCAUUUUUAUCAUGUAACCACAGGCUUCUUAAAACGGUUUAGUACCGUAUUACUGCAAACCUUCUUCGAGCUUCCUUUUCCUUCACCAUCGCACCAUCCCGCUUGUCCAUUUUUCUCUGGCAUUCGAUGUUAACCGAACAGUAAGGGGAGGGCACUAGUUAGUCCACUUAAUUUUUUUGAUGAGGUAGC